AUCUUGCGCAAUGGGGGAAACCCUGACGCAGCGACGCCGCGUGCGGGAUGAAGGCCUUCGGGUCGUAAACCGCUUUCAGCAGGGACGAAAUUGACGGUACCUGCAGAAGACGCCCCGGCCAACUACGUGCCAGCAGCCGCGGUAAUACGUAGGGGGCAAGCGUUGUCCGGAUUUAUUGGGCGUAAAGAGCUCGUAGGCGGCUUGGUAAGUCGGGUGUGAAAUCUCCACGCUCAACGUGGAGGGGCCACUCGAUACUGCCAUGGCUAGAGUCCGGUAGGGGAGUGUGGAAUUCCCGGUGUAGCGGUGAAAUGCGCAGAGAUCGGGAGGAACACCCGUAGCGAAGGCGGCACUCUGGGCCGGUACUGACGCUGAGGAGCGAAAGCGUGGGGAGCGAACAGG
rnacentral:rRNA from 1 species